rnacentral:lncRNA from 1 species
CGGCGGGCGGGGGCGGGGGGGUUCCGAGGUUUGGAGGGCAGACCUCUUGAAGGCGGGCGGCAGCCACCAACCACAUUCUGGCUCCCGCACAGACACACCCCCGGGGUGUCGGUGCCGCAGCCCUCAGCCCCUCCCGGGGUAGCCAGCAGCGCCCAGUCGGCCGCUGGCCGCAGGAGAAAGUAAACAACACCCCAAGUGUCCGGGAACAAAGGCAAGUUGUCUUUCUACGGUGCCGGAGCCGUGUGCCUCUUCUGAAGAAUGAGAGCUAUUAUUAUUCUUUAUGUCUUAUCCUUUUUUUUUUUUCAACCAAGUUUCCUUCUAAGGGAAAUAAACACCAAAGGUAGGAUUCCAAGGAAAUGACUCACGGCGGCUGGCAGGGCUCUGGCGGGGCUGGCCUGGGCCCCCGCGCUCCAGCCCGCAGCAGAUGCCGGCCCGGGCCUCCCUCCCUCCCUCCCUUGAUGGCCAAACCCGCUGGAAGCCCCCGGCCGCGGGAGCGCCCUGCGCCCAUGGGACCUGGCGGCGAGGACGCCUCUUCCUUGCUUCUGCGACCGCAGCUGGGCACUCGGAAAGUUGCUAGGGCCGAAGAGGCUGGAGGGGAGGAAGGGAAGAGAGAGGCGGAGGCGUGGACCAGGCGGGCAGCAGCCUCAGCCCGCCGGGGAGCAAACGGAGAUGAGAAACAGAUGUCUUUGCAGGACCAAACAGUUAUUCUCCCUCGCUGCCCGCCCCCACCCGUUUCCCUCCUGAGCUGCUGAUCCUCCGACUGUGAAAAACCAAACCUCUGGCUGCCUGGCACCCUAGGAAUCAAGAAGACGCACAGACUGAAAAUCAAGGGAGGAAGGAACAAGAUCAAGGAUGAGGAUUAGCAUCUGCAAAUUGAACUCUAUCUAAUUUGCAUGUUUAUUUCUUAGAAUUGUAAUUAAAUUUGUGUAAUAAAUGUUUUCCAUUUCAUUUGUACACUUAAAACUUGGGUGACUGACAUGCAGUUAAGUGAAUUUCCUUUUUUUUUUUUUAAGCAAAUGUAGUUUAUUCAAUAAAGUAGCAAACCAAUAUUAAACCUAAUUAGAAC